rnacentral:rRNA from 1 species
UAGGGAAUCUCCCACAAUGGGCGAAAGCCUGAUGGAGCAACGCCGCGUGUGUGAUGAAGGGUUUCGGCUCGCAAAACACUGUUGUAAGAGAAGAAUGACAUUGAGAGUAACUGUUCAAUGUGUGACGGUAUCUUACCAAAAGGAACGGCUAAAUACGUGCCAG